UGGGUCUGCAUGUGUGUCCGGGCACCACGUGUGUGCCGGGUGCCCGCAGAGGCCAGGAGAGGACGUCUGAUCCCUGGGGGCUCUGGGUGCUGGGGUGACCGCUGAGCCACGUCCCCAGCCCCGUCUCCAGUUCCCUGUUUUCUGUGUACGUGUGUGUAUAUGGAUGGGGGUGCAGCAGCCCUCGGAGGUCAGAAGGGAAAAUCAGAUUCUCUGGAGCCUGACAGACCCCAGUCUUUUAUGAGAACACUCUUAACCGCUGAGUUCUCUCUCCGGCUCCUAUCCCCUUUAAAUUUUAUUUUUAAUCUUGUGUGCUUGUGUGGGGGAGGUAUUUGCUUGUUUAUUUGGUUUGUAUGUGCCCUCGGAAGCCAGAAGGACUUUGAUUCCCUGGAUCUGGACUUCCGAACCUGGGUUCUCUGUAAGAGAGCAAUAUGGGCUCUUAACUGAUGAGCCAUCUCUCCAGCCACAAAUUACCAAAUACUUUGACUGUGAUAAUUACUUUCAGGAAGAAUAAAGAGAGAUAUCUUGCAAUGCACCCGAUAAAGACGGGGUCAGUGAGCCUGUAGAGAGGUCUCUGCAGGCACAGAAGGAACAGUGCGAUGGCCUUGGGACUGCAGGGUGGCUGGAGGGGGAUCAGAGAGGUCACCAGGCUUGGUCACACAGAGAACAUUGGCUUUCUGCUCUGACUAUCAUGGGAAGCCAUGGUAGUAUUUUAAACUGAGAAGUACAGCCAGGGCCAUCGGAGCCCAAGAACCUGCCACACCCCCGGCCUCAACUACAGCCUCAUUCUCUGAGGUCCUGCAUUUGAACCAUCUGGGCAGAACAGGGACCGAGUUCUAAACCUGGUUCCAGGACCCUGGAAGUUCCAGAUUUAGAGAGGUCCAAGAUGUUACAUCCCCACCCUCUGAGGAGUGCACAGGAAGUCUUCCGGAGGCCAAGCACAACAGAUGACAGGGCAGGGCUAGAAGAGAACAACGGUUUUCACAUAGCUCGGGGACAGCUCAGAGAACUGGAACCAGACUGAGAGGCAGUAAAAGAGAGAUGGAGCAUUGCCUUCAAGCCACGUUCCUCCAGGAGGAAGGGCACUCAAGACCGGCCCAUAACGUUCUCCAUACAGUACCAAAGGACUCGCUAGCAUCCUGGCGUAGGGUUGAG
rnacentral:lncRNA from 1 species